GAUGAAGAACGCAGCGAAAUGCGAUAAGUAAUGUGAAUUGCAGAAUUCAGUGAAUCAUCGAAUCUUUGAACGCACAUUGCGCCCGUCAGUAUUCUGGCGGGCAUGCCUGUUCGAGCGUCAUUACGCCCCUCAAGUCCCCUGUGGACUUGGUGUUGGGGAUCGGCGAGGCUGGUUUUCCAGCACAGCCGUCCCUUAAAUUAAUUGGCGGUCUCGCCGUGGCCCUCCUCUGCGCAGUAGUAAAACACUCGCAACAGGAGCCCGGCGCGGUCCACUGCCGUAAAACCCCCCAACUUUUUAUAGUUGACCUCGAAUCAGGUAGGACUACCCGCUGAACUUAAGCAUACCAAUAAGCGGAGGA
rnacentral:misc_RNA from 1 species